UCUCCCUAACAAGGAGAGGUCCAAAGGAAGAGCAAUUCUGGGUUCCAUACAGAAUUGGUUAGGGCCAGAGCUCCAGAACUUUGUUAGUUUUAAAUCCUACACUCCUCUAUGUCAGUUUUUUUUUUUUUUUUCAGGUUGCCUUCCUCUAUCCAUCACAGGACAGCAGUGGGCAGUUCCAGGUUUCAUAUUUUGACAUGCCACUAUAGAGAGGAAUAAAAGGAGCUAACUUCCAUUGUCACUUUCCAAGAGUGGAAACCUUUUCUGGAAACUUUCUUUUCCUGAAUGCUUUCCUUCAUGUAUCCUUGACCAGAAUGACAUCACAAGUCCUCCUAAAUGCUGGCAAGGGAAGCAGUAUUACAAUCAAGAUCCACUUUGCUGUCCAGGUUACCCUGCUGGGUAUACUCUCCCCUGACUCAUCCAGAAGGCUGACUGUCCACACCUGUCUGCUGUACUCCCCUGUAGACGCCCUCCUUCCCCUGCUGGAACUCUGAUACCACCCACUGGGCUGCCUCCUUCCACAAGGACAUGCUUUGCACCUAGCUUGAACUCUGAUAUGCACCCACCUGCCAUUCCAUGGAGCUACUCUGGCAAUGAGCUGAGGCUCUGAAUCCUCAGAAUGGGCCGGCUCCAUGCAUGGAUCCAUUCUUCACCCAGCUCAGGCCCCGACAUCCGUGCCCUUCGUCACACCCUGAGAUCAACUGCUUAUCUAGCAACAGCCUGUUCCAACAAGGGUUAAAAUUUGGCUCAGAUGCAAUUUGUAUAGCAGUCUAUUUAAAGAAGCAAGUUGAUAUGGCAAUAGCUAUGUACAAAGUAAAAAAAAAAAAAAAAAAAAAGAAGCAGCAGCUAUGAGAUUUAUCCACUCACUGGAAAAAAAUGGGAGUUGUCAGAACAGAAAGAUGUGAUAGUGCAUGUGCAUUGUUGCUAAAGUAAUACAGCUAAUAAAUGUGGUUUUCAUAAAUUAAAAAAAUACAUAUAUAACUAUUCACCCAUCCUAUCAGCAGUAUCUCUUUACAAAAACAGAGAAUAGCCAUUUCACAUGAUGUUUUAACUUUUAAACUAUAUAGUGAUACUUAUCAAAUGGAAAUAUAAAAAAUAAGAACCUCAUCCCGUUUUGCCAGAAAUGAAUUUAAAAUAAAAAGUUGCAUUUUAAGAGUUCAUGUCAUGGUACUUCAGAUGAGUCUCUACCAUAAUUUCAUCACUAUCGCCACUGAUGGCAACUUAAGACUGGCAAUAAACUUUUUAUGUUGCUGUAUUACCUGUAAGAUGUCCAAAACAGGCUCAAUUUAUGGAUGAGAAGACUGGGCAAAGAGUUAAGAAACUGACACAGGGUCACAGAGUAGUAAGAGGGUCAGGCAGGACCCACCUCCUACAGCCUGGCUCCCCUGCCCUUAUACUCCCUAGUGUGUUCUGAUCUGGGGGAAAAAAAUACGUGACUGUGUUAUUAUCUUUAAUGGGAGAAAACUAGGGAAUAAGCAUAGAGGGGAAAGGAUUUAUGGAUCAUCUGUCCUGAAAUUAAACAGCUGUAAAAGAAUGAUGCAAUAGAGUCACAUUUACCGGUGAGGAAAGAUGUUUAGUUUAUCACACGAUGUUUGCUGUAAAAACUGAGUCAGGGCCGUCUACAGAUUAUAAAGAGAGUGUUUAUAUAAACUAUAAAUGCCUCAAGCAGGACUGGAAAGAUUCCAGGCAAAUUAUUCACAGCGUCAGUCUGGGAAAGCAGACGUGGGAUAUGAAUCUGGAAUGUGAGAGGAGAGCAGGAUUUGGGAUAGAGAAGAGGAACCUCAGGGGAUGGAGGUGUUUGCUGCCCCUAGUAAGUCUUUUGCAUAGUCAGUCCUAUCUUGUCGUCUGCUUCUCAGAGGGCCUGGACUAACAUUUACUGUAGCAUCUGUGACCACAAUGUGACAAGAAAGUAGCAUGAGCAAACCUAAGAGGACUUGAGAAGACUUAAGAGGCAGGAGGGUCUCCACUUUUCCAUCUCAGAGCUUUAUGCGAAGCCAUGGGAGCAUCUUCAGCCUGUUCACAUGAGCCCAGCAAUGAGAGAGUUAAUGUCCUAGGAGUAACCCUCAACCAAUGGAGAAUGGUACUGUGGGUCAGCACGUGGCACCUGUCUUUCCAGUGGAGAGUGAACAUUCUGUAUGUUUCUCACAGGUCACUGCAGUAUCCAGUUGCAGUUCCCUGCAACAGCAGCCUCAGUAAUGUACACCUGUACCAGCCUCUCCUUCCUUUCUCUUUCUCCUUGCUCCUUCACUAGGCUUCCUACGAUCACCCUUCAGAUACAUCUAAUUCCAUGCCUUGGAAUCCACAUUUGGGGGAAUCUAAAUUAAGACAACAUGUUAAGGAUAAAAACAAGUAUAGCAAUCUCUUUCCCCCAAAAUAAUUUCGAGGCGAUAAAUUUGAAAAAUGACUUUGCUCUAAUGAAUGAUCACUUAAUUAUAUGAAGAUAUAAUUUUAGGUUCUAAGAAAAUAAAAAAUUAUACAAUUCAGGAAGGGACAUUUUCCUUAUUUGACUGUGAAUAAAAUAAAUCACUUGCUUAUAUUCACUUAUGGUGAAAAAUAUGUAUUUUCUCAUAAAACAGUAAACUCCAGUAAGUAUAAAAUGAGCAACUAAAGCUAAUCAAAUUAAUUUGUAUAUAUGGACUUUAAAGGUAAUGAGAGUUUUUAUUUAAAGAAGUAAUAGAAACAUAGUUUAUAUACGCUUAUCAGUAGUAGGUUUGGAAAGUUUGUGAUUUUUAGUUCUCAAGUACUUCUGGUCAUCAGAAUAAAUAUUGUGACACUAUUUAAGAGUUACAUUCAUUUUUGGCAAUGUUUCCCAUUUUGUCAACCACAGAUUUCAAGUACCUUUAGUGUGCAAGGUUCUGCAUAAAACAAUCAAUCAUCCCCUUUUGGCUGCUUGGCAGACACAGUCUAUGGCUUGUUCUAUCAUGAACUGAAUUCAUAUAUAUUCAUGAGGUACAAAGAAACACUUCAUUGUUUCAGAUUGUUUUGUUAUUUUAGAAUAAAUCAUAAAGACACCAUCCCACCCAUAGAUGGUAAAGAAAUAUUUGUCCUAUGAUCCUCACCUUUGUGGUUUGUAGUGUUUUAACUUGCACAGUUUAGCCCACAUUACAUGUUACUUUUUUUUUUUUUUUUACACUAAGUUACAUACUUUUUUUUUAAAGCACCAUGUCUCUGUUACCUUGUAUCAGGAAAAAUUGGAAACAUUAUCUAAAAACUGAAACAUACGUGUCCUAAAUUAGUGUGAUUUAAUUUUCACCCUCUGCAGAACUCAUGGCAAAAUGAUGAACUUUGUACAUACAGGUAGAUACUGUCUGAGUUCCCAAAUUCCAUCAAUCUCAACAUUUUUUGUUCUUUCUCUAUUUGUGCAGAACCCUCCAAGAAUCUGUUGUAAUUGCAAAAUUUUGCAUCCUGGUAGAAUGUCUGCGUGAACAUCAGUCAGAGCAACAGUAGCACACACAGCAUGAAAACAACUUGCUGAGAAGGCUACUUUAACACCUCUGAUAAACAGAAAAAGAGGUGAAUGUUUGUAUUUAAAGUCAACCAAAUACCUCACUUUCUCUGCCUUUACUAACCAGUGUAAUCCUAUGCUGGUAAAAUCUUGUAAAAUCUGGGGAAAUAAAACCCAGACACAAUGAAUCCCAGAGACAUAAAGGCCAUUGAACAUUCUUGAUCAUCACCAACAUGGUUCUCAGAAAAGACAGUUUAUUGGAUCUUCCCUAAGAAUUAUGUUUUCAGCAACAGGAUGAUUCAAACGUUUAGUGUCUCAGAUUGUAACAAUGGCUAUUUGUUUAGGUCGCACAGUGCCUAUUUAGAACUUAGUCAAAUUCUUGCCAUAGGGAUCAAAAAAUUUUAAAAAGGACAAGUGGCAAUAAAUAGCAAUAAUGUGGCUCCACACAGGAUUGGAAUCAGACACUCAGGUUUGAAUCCUGGCCCCUGGAUGAGCUGGUGAACUCAGACAAUUUACUUGAUUUUUAAUUCUAGAUUUUUCUCAUCUGGAUAAUAUCUAUCUCACUAUUAUGAGAACAUAUCCUAGCCACAGAGUAAGAAGUUUAGUUAUUAUCAUUAUUUAUCAUUAUUAUCAGUCAUUAUGCUUGGCUGUAAAGAAUAGAACCCACCCAGCUAGAUUAAACAAAAAAGGAUUUUUUUAAAGGAGACUAGGUGACUUUUAGAUUCUUGAGGUCAGAGGGACAGAGACUCAGACUUGGAAGUGACUUAAGAAGGACUUGCUGAAAUCAUAUUAUAGAGGCUGCUAAGGGAUAUAUUCAUAGGAGCUUACCCAGGAGCUACAUAAAUUGUAGAGUCCAGUGUAAAAUGAAAAAAUGGGGCCACUUUUUCAAAAAGUAAGAAAAUUUCCAUUAAAGACACUAAAAUAUAAAGCUCUUUCCUUUUUUCUGCAGUCUCUUUCUCAACUUGCCAUGGCAUUUUUUAAUUAUUUCACAUUGUUCUAAGUAAAGAAAAAGCUAACAUUAAAAAAACUAGCAAAAAUUUUACCACUCAUCUUGGUAUUGGACAAUGUCAGUCUUAAAUGCAAAUAUAAAACCAUUUCAUUUAUAUGCAAAAUUAGUGAAAUCACAAUUCAUGUAUAUAGCUUAUGUAAUUUUUGCAUAUGUAUAUGCAUAUGUAUUUUUUUCUUACCAGAGGAGUAGAAAUACUACACAAAAAUAUCACAACUGUUUUCUUGAUACAUGGACAUUCUAUCAACACUCUCUACCUUUGCCAUGCUGAUGGGUAGGGAAGAACUGAAAAAAGAAGAUAUGGUUGCCCUAACUUUCCCUUGUCUUCUAUGUCAUCAUUUUCAGUGUAAGAGGUUGUUAUUACAGAGGAAUAACAGGAGUAGGAGAAUCAUAAUAGAAUUCCUUGGUUGUUCAUGUUUCUUCGAAUGACAUUGCCUUUGUGUUUUUCAUUUUUUUGUUUCUUUUUAUGCCACACUUACAGCAUAUGGA